AAUAUUAGACAAUGGGCGAAAGCCUGAUGCAGCCAUGCCGUGUGCGUGACGAAGGUCUUCGGAUUGUAAAGCACCUCAUGUUGGGGAGGAAUGGUUGCAGACUAAUACUCUGCAAUUCUGACGUUACUAACAGAAUAAGUCACAGCUCACUUAGUACCAGCGUCCCCGGUAAUACGAAAGGUGAGAGGGUUAAUCGGAAUUAGUGGGCGUAAAGCGCGAGUAGGUGGUUCGUUAAGUUGGAUGUGGAAGCCCCGGGCUCAACCUGGGAACUGCAUACAAAACUGGCGAGCUAGAGUACGGUAGAGGGUGGUGGAAUUUCCUGUGUAGCGGUGAAAUGCGUAGAUAUAGGAAGGAACACCAGUGGCGAAGGCGACCACCUGGACUGAUACUGACACUGAGGUGCGAAAGCGUGGGGAGCAAACAGG
rnacentral:rRNA from 1 species